rnacentral:rRNA from 1 species
GACCCUAAGUCAAGUGGGAUCAUCUACUGACUUUAAGCAUAUUAAUAAGCAAAGAAAAUGAAACUUACUAGUAUUCCCCUAAUAACAGUGAGCAAACUAGGAAAAGCUUAACUUAAGAAUUAGGUGUCCUCACCAUUCAGAUAGUAAUUUAGAAAAGUGUCCUUAAUGGCAGACCGAGCCUAAGUACAAGUCCUUUAAAAAUAGGCACCGAAAAGGGUGAGUAACCCAUUAUGCCUCGACCCUAUUGCACCAUGAGGCACAAUCUACAAGUUGGGUUGUUUAAAAAUGCAGCCUCAAUCGAGUAGUAAAUUUUUUCCAAGGCUAAAUAUGAGCGAAAGAUCGAAAACAAACAAGUACAACAAAAGAAAGAUGCAAAAGACUUUCAAAAGAGAGUCAAAGAGUGCUUGAAAUUGUUAUGAGGGAAGUGGAUACCGGUCGACAAUAUGUCCCAAUCAGAUGUGGAACUGUAAGAAUCGAUCUAUAGAUUAGCUCGCGGCAUUGACUAAUGUAAGUCAUAGUAGUGGCCCAAGCUUGGGCUUUCAAUAUGCCUAUGGAGACAUCAUCACCACAUUCAUGGAAUGUAGCACAUGCUAUCUCAGUAUGCUCCCUAUCUAGCUCAUCUUGAAACACGGACUAAGGACUCUAAACUGUGUGCAAGUUAACAAGCUAAAAAACCUAUAAAGUGCAAAGAAGCUGAUUGGUGGGAUCUCUCACUAGUGCACCACUAACAAACCUUGAUUUUUUGAAAAAAGUUCGAGUAUGAGCUCGCCUGUUAGGGCUUAAAAGAUGAUGAAAUGCCAGAAUAGGGUGAAGCUAAAGGAAACUCUGGUAGAAGCUUGCAUCUAUACUAACAUGCAAAUCGUUCAUCUGACUUAGGUAUAGGGGUGAAAGACUAAUUGAACCAUCUAGUAACUGGUUCUCUCCAAAGUUUCCAUUAGGAUAGUUAGAACCCUUAGCGAGUUCUAUCAAGUAAAGCCAAUGAUUAGAGGCAUCGAGGGUGAGACAUCUUUAACCUAUUCUCAAACUUUAAAUAGGUAGGACGGCGCAGCUACUUCAUUGAGCCACACCUCGAAAUCAAGAGCUCCAAAUGGGUUAUUUUUAGUAAGCAAAAUUGGUAAUGCGGGAUGAAUUAGAAGCCAAGUUAUGGUGCCUAACUACACAUUAACCUAGAAUGCGGUGUUGGUUGAUUAAAACAGCAAGAUGAUGGUCAUAAAAGUUGAAAUCCUCUAAAGAAUGUGUAACAACUCACUUAUUGAAUCAACUAGCUAUGAAAAUGGAUGGCACUUAAGCAUGAGACUUAUACCUGUCCAUCAGGGCAAGGGUUAGGCCCUAAUGAGUAGGAGGGCAUGGCGGUCAUUGUAAAACUAUGGGUGCAAGCCCGAAUGAAGUGACUAUCUGUGUAGAUCUUGGAUGUAGUAGCAAAUAUUAAAAUGAGAACUUUGAAAGCCAAAGAAAGGAAAGGUUCCAAGUAAAUGGCAUUUGCACAUGGGUUAGUUGAUCCUAAGAGACGAGGAAACUCCAUUCGAUAUCACAUCCAGCAUGAUCUUUGAUAAAGAAUCGAGUUAAAAUUCUUGAACUGGGACAUGACAAUUGAUGGCAAUGUUAGGGAGUCUGAAGAUGUUAGUGGAGGCCUCAAGAAGAGUUAUCUUUUUUAUUUAAUGGCUUGGCCACCCUAAAAAUGGCUUAGUCAAAAGUAGAGUUCAGCAGUCAAAAAAUCAUCACACAUUGAGUGGUGUCCAAUGUGCCUUCAGUAGCCCUUGAAAAUUUGGAAGAUUGAGUGUCGUUUGUGCUCAAUCACACUCAUAACUACAUCUGGUUUCCAAGGUGAACAAGCUCUGGUCAAUGGAACAAUGUAGGCAAGGGAAGUUGGCAAAAUGAAUCCGUAACCUCAGAAAAAAGAUUGGCUCUAAGAGCUGGGCAUGGGAGUCCUAGUCAUGAACCUAUUGACUACUAGUGCACUACUCAAGCUACUAUCGUGGCAAGAGUGGGUUGCCAUGUGCUACCCAAGGGAUGGAUUGGGAAUGGCUCCCUCUGAGGCCUUUUCUAAAUAAUGAAUAGUUGACUUAAAACUAGUAUCAAAAAGGGGAAUCCAACUAUUUAAUUAAAAUAAAGCAUUGUGAUAGUCCUUGUGGAUGCUCACACAAUGUGAUUUCUACCCAGUGCUUUGAAUGCCAAAGUAAAGAAAUUUAACCAAGUAUGGGUAAAUGGUAGGAGUAACUAUGACUCUCUUAAGGUAGCCAAAUGCCUCAUCAUCUAAUUAGUGUUGCACAUGAAUGGAUUAAUGAGAUUCCCACUAUUUCUAUCUACUAUCCAGUGAAACCACAACAAAGGAAAUAAGCUUGGCAAAAUCAACGGGGAAAGAAGACCUUGUUGAGCUAGACUCUAGUCUGACUUUGUGAAAUGACUUCAGAGGUGUAGGUUAAGUGGGAGCCCUCGAGCAAAACUGAAAUACCACUACUUUUAACAUUAUUUUACUUAUUCCAUGAAUCGGUGAUGGGGCAUGACCUUUUUUUGUGGAUCUAAGGUUGGCCUCAGUCAGUUGAUCCAAGUGAAAGACUUUGUCAGGUAGAGAGUAUGGCUAGGGUGGCACAUCUAUUAAAAGAUAACCCAGGUGUCCUAAGAUAAGUUCAAUGAGAAUAAAAAUCUAGUGUGGAACAAAAGGGUCAAAGCUUGUUUGGCUCUGAUUUCUUAUACAAAUACAAACCAUGAAAGCAUUGCCUAUCGAUGCUUUAGACCUUUAAAAUUUAAAGCUAGAGGUGUAAAAAAAUUUACCACAAGGAUGACUGGCUUAUGGCAGCCAAGCAUUCAUUGUAACAUUGCUUUUUGAUCCUUUGAUAUUGGCUCUUCUUAUCAUUAUGAAGCAGAAUUCACCAAGUGUUGGAUUGUUCACCAACCAUAAGAAAUGUAAGCUAGGUUUAGACCAUCAUGAGAUAAGUUAGUUUUACCUUACUAAUUGCAAUGUCACAAUAAUGAUUCAAUCUAGUACAAAAGGAACUAUUGAUUCACAUAAUUAGUCAUUGUGCUUGGUUGAAAAGCUAGUGGCAUGAAGCUAUCAUGUGUUGGAUUAUGAUUGAAUGCCUUUAAGUCAAAAUCUGGGCUAGAAGUGAUAUACACACCCAACACUUAAUUGUUGACCUAUAAUAGGGUGCCAUGGUCCCCAAAGGCACAGAAUACCUCCCGUGGUGAACAAGCCACACGAGCCUCCUUGGAUCUCAAUUCCCACCAAGCGAUAGGUAGAAUC